rnacentral:misc_RNA from 1 species
AAGUCGUAACAAGGUUUCCGUAGGUGAACCUGCGGAAGGAUCAUUAAUGAAUGAAAUUGAGUGGGGUUGUAGCUGGCCUUUCACCGGGCAUGUGCACGCCUCAUUCGACCACCUUCUACACCUCUGUGCACUUCUCAUGAGUUGGACCGCGUCUGAAAUAUUGACAAAGUCCGGCUCGUGUGUUUUAUACAAACGAAUCAUGUCAUAGAAUGUCACUACCAUGCUUUGAAGCAUAUAAUACAACUUUCAACAACGGAUCUCUUGGCUCUC